rnacentral:rRNA from 1 species
ACGUAGGGUGCGAGCGUUAAUCGGAAUUACUGGGCGUAAAGCGUGCGCAGGCGGCUAUGCAAGACAGAUGUGAAAUCCCCGGGCUCAACCUGGGAACUGCAUUUGUGACUGCAUGGCUAGAGUACGGUAGAGGGGGAUGGAAUUCCGCGUGUAGCAGUGAAAUGCGUAGAUAUGCGGAGGAACACCGAUGGCGAAGGCGGCGCUCUGGAACAUUUCUGACGCUGAGGCUCGAAAGCGUGGGGAGCAAACAGGA